rnacentral:rRNA from 1 species
CAUGCAAGUCGAACGCGAAAGCGCCUUCGGGCGUAAGUAGAGUGGCGGACGGGUGAGUAAUGCAUAGGAAUCUGCCCAGUAGUGGGGGACAACUACCGGAAACGGUAGCUAAUACCGCAUACGCCCUAUGGGGGAAAGCGGGGGAUCUUCGGACCUCGUGCUAUUGGAUGAGCCUAUGUCAGAUUAGCUGGUUGGUGGGGUAAUGGCCUACCAAGGCAACGAUCUGUAGCUGGUUUGAGAGGAUGAUCAGCCACACUGGGACUGAGACACGGCCCAGACUCCUACGGGAGGCAGCAGUGGGGAAUAUUGGACAAUGGGCGCAAGCCUGAUCCAGCAAUACCGCGUGUGUGAAGAAGGCCUAAGGGUUGUAAAGCACUUCAAUCGCGAAGAUGGGCAGCAAGGAUAAUACCCUUGUUGCUUGACGUUAGCGAUACAAGAAGCACCGGCUAACUCCGUGCCAGCAGCCGCGGUAAUACGGAGGGUGCGAGCGUUAAUCGGAAUUACUGGGCGUAAAGCGCACGUAGGCGGUCAGAUCAGUCGGAUGUGAAAGCCCUGGGCUCAACUCGGGAACUGCAUUCGAUACUAUCUGGCUAGAGUUUGGUAGAGGGUGACGGAAUUCCAGGUGUAGCGGUGAAAUGCGUAGAUAUCUGGAGGAACAUCAGUGGCGAAGGCGGUUACCUGGAUCAAAACUGACG